rnacentral:lncRNA from 10 species
CUGAAUGGCACUGGGCAGAAAUAACAGAGUCAGGGUCCACCCUUUGCAUAGGUUGUGUCCGUGCGGAUGUCCCAUGGAUGGUCAUUGGCCCACCCUCCAUCCUGUGCCUCGCAAGAACCCAGGCACAGGGCAGUUCUAUCAGUGGGGCAGAUCAGCCUGCCCUGAGCUUUGGCCGCGGUGGGGAAGCUUGUUUUUAGAUUUUUCUUCGAAGACACUCUUUUGGAGCCAUAGCAACAGAGGAGCGUGAGUUUGGCCUCGGCUCAGGUCAUAGGUGGAAGUUUCUGCUGCCCUUCGGCGCUCCAGGGCACCGUGGCUCUCUGGAAGGUUCCCAUUUCGGGAAGGAGCAUGCUGAGGCCUGGAGUCUGGUCACGGUCACGUCACCCCAGGGAGGCACUGAGCUGG